rnacentral:rRNA from 1 species
AUACGUAGGUGACAAGCGUUAUCCGGAUUUACUGGGCGUAAAGGGCGUGUAGGCGGUCUUGCAAGUCAGAAGUGAAAUUCCUGAGCUCAACUCGGGCGCUGCUUCUGAAACUGCAGGACUUGAGUGCUGGAGGGGAUAGCGGAAUUCCUAGUGGAGCGGUAAAAUGCGCAGAUAUUAGGAAGAACACCGGUGGCGAAGGCGGCAAACUGGACAGUAACGGACGCUGAGGCGCGAAAGCGUGGGGAGCAAACAGGAUUAGAUCCCCUGGUAGUCCACGCCGUAAACGAUGAAUGCUAGGUGUAGGAGGUAUCGACCCCUUCUGUGCCGUAGUCAACACACUAAGCAUUCCGCCUGGGGAGUACGGUCGCAAGAUUAAAACUCAAAGGAAUUGACGGGG